rnacentral:rRNA from 1 species
UGGGGAAUUUUGGACAAUGGGCGAAAGCCUGAUCCAGCCAUGCCGCGUGCAGGAUGAAGGCCUUCGGGUUGUAAACUGCUUUUGUACGGAACGAAAAGACUCUGGUUAAUACCUGGGGUCCAUGACGGUACCGUAAGAAUAAGCACCGGCUAACUACGUGCCAGCAGCCGCGGUAAUACGUAGGGUGCAAGCGUUAAUCGGAAUUACUGGGCGUAAAGCGUGCGCAGGCGGUUAUAUAAGACAGAUGUGAAAUCCCCGGGGCUCAACCUGGGAACUGCAUUUUGUGACUGUAUAGCUAGAGUACGGCAGAGGGGGGAUGGAAUUUCCGCGUGUAGCAGUGAAAUGCGUAGAUAUGCGGAGGAACACCGAUGGCGAAGGCAAUCCCCUGGGCCUGUACUGACGCUCAUGCACGAAAGCGUGGGGGAGCAAACAGGAUUAGAUACCCUGGUAGUCCACGCCCUAAACGAUGUCAACUGGUUGUUGGGGUCUUUCACUGACUCAGUAACGAAGCUAACGCGUGAAGUUGACCGCCUGGGGAGU